rnacentral:rRNA from 1 species
UACGAAGGGGGCUAGCGUUGCUCGGAAUUACUGGGCGUAAAGCGCACGUAGGCGGCUUCUUAAGUCAGGGGUGAAAUCCCGAGGCUCAACCUCGGAACUGCCUUUGAUACUGGGGAUCUCGAGUCCGGGAGAGGUGAGUGGAACUGCGAGUGUAGAGGUGAAAUUCGUAGAUAUUCGCAAGAACACCAGUGGCGAAGGCGGCUCACUGGCCCGGUACUGACGCUGAGGUGCGAAAGCGUGGGGAGCAAACAGG